UGAAAAGUUGUUUUCAGUGUAUUUUCUCCUUGAAAUCGAUCACUUCAGGUACUAUUACUGUGCAUACCUAGCUAAAUUAGUGUCUAGUUUCGUCUCUGAUGACAUUUAUUUCGUAAAAAUCGCUGUUUUUUUCUAAAAAGGUGUUUUUGUGGUCAUUUUGGCUGUUUAUUUCGAGGGUACGGUAGGAGGUCAUCGUUCACUCGAUAACUCUUUUUAAAAUGAAAUAAAAGCGUUUUAAGAUACAUGAUAUGAAUUGAUAUUAAUAUUCGUUAAGUGGGAUUGUCGGUGGACGUUCAUUGUUGAACAGUUGUGCUGGAAUUACGAAAAUAUAUCGAUAUCGUUGAGAGUUCAUUCAUUAGGGGCCUGUUCUCAAUUUUCCUUACAACGCCUCUAGUACUGGGCAAUUGCCACCAUCUUGAAAAGCAGUGCCGCGGAUGGCUAUCGCAUCGCCACUACGCAUGAGAACACGAUGGCUGCCCUGCGCUGCAUUGAUAGUUCGUAAUAAAUUCACAUAAAAACACACCAGAAGAUCUCCGAUUUUAUUUACAAAGAUCAUAUUUUGUUAUUUAUUGAUAAAACAAGCCAUUUUACCACAGCAGGUGACACAUAUUAGGCCUGAAUAAGACUUUAGAAUUUGAAGUGGUGGUGACGAUGCCGAUAUCCAAGAUGGCGGAAUUAUACCAGUGGUCAAAUCUCAUCUAUUUUGGUUAGACUUCGAGAUCUACAUUUUCGACAAAGGCCUGGUGUAAUAUUACGUACUUGAUGAAGGUUUAAUGACACGAAUGAGUACAAGUACAUUACAUUUUUCGACGAAGGCCUUCUGUAAUUUCAUACGCUUCUUACGCAACAUUCAAUAGAUUUAUUUACUGUAUUAUCAUUUCGACCAAGGCGAAUUCGACACUUCAAUUACACAAGCACAAUCAAACUUAGUCAUUCCAGUCAGUUACUGAAGCACAGCGAAAACUGUCUGAAUUAGUGCUGCUGAUGGCAUGUAAUUACUCUACUACCACUACCAGUGACAGUCAAUGUCCAUAUAUUUUCAAGUGUGCGAAAUUAGUACUCGUCUACUUCUUAGUGUUAUUUGAAUGCAAUGUAUGUUAUAAAAAUAUUUUUUCAACACUAUAUCAACAUUCUCAUUCCUGUCAGUUUCUGAAAAUCAGCUAAAGCAAUCGCUACCAAUGCAGCUGAUAACAGCAAUUCUUUUUGUUCCCAAUGCCCAUCCAUGACAAUAUAUUUCACGCAUGUGACAAUCAUGUAAUCAUCCUGUUUUUUGUGUUCUAUUCAUGCAAUAAAUAAAUUCAGUAUUUUCAAAUCAUUGGUGCUACAAAACUAUUCUCAUUAUAGAUUAUUCAUAUUUUAUAAAAUGCUGUCAUGUCAAAUUUUGUGUCCUAUAAAUCAUUAUGAAGUCGGCAUUUUAUAUACAACUUUUGUACUCCUCCUAAAUAAACAUACAAAUCUUGUUUUAUGUAAACUUUGUAUAUGUGACCCGUCACAGCAAAACCAGGCGCAUGUCGCUCUGAGCUUGGCAGGUUGAGACGGACUGUUUGUUCAUUUAUCUAUUGUCUGCCUUUUGUAAAAUAUGAGCACAUCAAUUUCUUCCAUUAUCUCCUGGUGUCAUUUAGGCUCAUCUUCUGUGCGACAUGUACCUGGUU